rnacentral:rRNA from 1 species
AAAUGAAUAGACGGGGGCCCGCACAAGCAGUGGAGCAUGUGGUUUAAUUCGAGGCUACGCGAAGAACCUUACCAGGGCUUGACAGGAAACUUAAGACCCUAGAGAUAGGGGGAUAAUAAGUGAAACAGGUGGUGCAUGGUUGUCGUCAGCUCGUGUCGUGAGAUGUUCGGUUAAGUCCGGCAACGAGCGCAACCCUUGUCCUUAGUUGCCAUCAUUAAGUUGGGGACUCUAAGGAGACCGCCGGUGCAAAUCGGAGGAAGGUGGGGAUGACGUCAAAUCAUCAUGCCCUUUAUGUCCUGGGCGACACACGUGCUACAAUGGCCGUUACAAAGAGCAGCAAAACCGCGAGGUCAAGCAAAUCUCAUAAAGACGGUCUCAGUUCGGAUUGGAGUCUGCAACUCGACUCCAUGAAGUCGGAAUUGCUAGUAAUCGUAGAUCAGCCAUGCUACGGUGAAUACGUUCCCGGGCCUUGUACACACCGCCCGU